rnacentral:Y_RNA from 1 species
GGCUAGUCCGAGUGCAGUGGUGUUUACGACCAAGUAAUCACAACCAGUUAUACGUUUCUUUGUUCCUUCUCCAUUCCCACUGCUUCACUUGACUAGCCUUAA